UUGGGCAGCAAGGAGAUCAAACCAGUCAAUCCUAAAGGAAAUCAACUCGGAAUAUUCAUUGGAAGGACUGAUGCUGAAGCUGAAGCUCCGAUACUUUGGCCACCUGAUGGUGAGUUAGCCAAGAUCCUGAAGAGACCCGACUCUGCCCACCUGCCUGCCCUGAACACUGACUCCAGAAGUUGGCAAAGCUGCUGCCACCACCCAGCUCUCCCACUCGGCUAUCUGCAGUCAUGUCAGCCGAGACCAAGAGGCAUCAUUGCAAGACCAAGGGAUGAAUUCAUUCUUUUUAAUAAAGGAAUCUUCAAAUCAAAUAGCCCUUCUAGCUAUUUCAUCAACAACCCACUGGAGUGCCAGUCACAGAGACCACUCAUUUACCAGAUUCUGCUGCUGCUGCUGCUGAGUCGCUUCAGUCGUGUCCAACUCUGUGCAACCCCAUAGACGGCAGCCCACCAGGCUCCCCUAUCCCUGGGAUUCUCCAGGCAAGAACACUGGAGUGGGUUGCCAUUUCCUUCUACAAUGCAUGAAAGUGAAAAGUGAAAGGGAAGUUGCUCAGUCGUGUCCAACUCUUAGCGACCCCAUGGACGGCAGCCUUCCAGGCUCCUCUGUCCAUGUGAUUUUCCAGGCAAGAGUACUGGAGUGGGGUGCCAUCGCCUUCUCUGGUAUAUAGAUUCACUUUCACUUAUUUUAUUUUUAGAUUUCACAUAUAAAUGAUGUGACAUAUCAUUUGUCUUUCUCUGAUUUACUUCACUAAGUAUGAUAUUCUCUAGGCCCAUCCAGGUUACUGCAAAUUGCAAUCUUUCAUUCUUUUUAUGGCUUAUAUUUAGGUCUUUAAACCACUUUGAGUUUAUUUUGGUAUAUGGUGUGGGGGAGUGUUUUACCUUUGUUGAUUUACAUGAGGCUGUCCAGCUUUCCCAUCACCACUUGUUGAAGACACUCCCUUGUCUCCAUUUAUAUUCUUGCCUCCUUUCAUAGAUUAAUUGACCACAGAUGCAUGUGUUUAUUUCUGGGCUCUCUAUUCUGUUCCACUGAACUAUAUGUCUGGUUUUGUGCCAAAACCAUGCUGUUUUAAUUACUGUUGCUUUGUAGUGUAGUCUGAAGUCUAGAAGGGUUAUUCCUCUAACUUUGUUCUUUUUUCUUCAGGACUGCUUUGGCAAUUCUGGGCCUUUUGUGAUUUCCAGUAUAUAUUUUAGGGAUAUUUGUUCUAAUUCUCUAAAAAAUGUCAUGGGUAUUUUGAUAGGGAUUGCAUUAAAUUGGUAAAUUGCUUUGGGCAGUAUGGCCAUUUUAACAAAUAUUAAUUCUUCAAAUCCAAGAACUAAUGGA
rnacentral:lncRNA from 1 species